AAAAGUCGAUUUAGGAAUGCCGUAUGAGCUUUGGGAUGAACCCUCGGCCUGAAAUUUCUCACCUUAAAACUCAGUGUGAGAGGUUUAUAGAAGACCAUGAAGAUCGUAUAUCCGACUGGUAUUUUGGAAAGCAGAGAAAUACUCUAAGGGAGUCUGUAUGUAAGAAAGUGCUUAGAGAUAAAAAUGUUUUAGAUGAACCCAAUGGAGAAGACAUUGAAGUUGAACCUGAAGCUGCCUCUGAAACACAAGUCAAGAAAAGUAGGAAAGGGGAUAUGGGAAAGGCUGACAAAAGUGAACUAUAGGUUCAUUCUUAUGUCACCUUUUAAAUAACUCCGUUAUUUUGUGGUAUGUGUAGUCGUUUUUAGGUAGUCUUUUUGAUUACUCAGGUAUUGAAACAAAGGAGUUUAAUAGGCUAUAUCUUGUCAUCUUUCUUCUGUUUACAAGAAACUGGUAAAUGUUUAGAGACUGCACAUAGGUAAUUAGUUUAUUACAGCUGUGCUGUUUUGCUCAUAUGAGGUCACUAAUUUUAAUAACCUAAUGCUUUCAUUUCCAUAUUAGUGUUAGUUUUAAUUUAUUUGUCAUCCCCUAGAUAGGACAGUAUAGUACAGCAUGCAUUUCCUAGAUGCAUCAAAAGCAUGUUUAUUAUUGUUUCACGAGCGAGACUGUUUUCUGUACUCUGCAAUUGUAUUCCAGUGUUCAGUUUCCAUUUACAUUUUGUCAAAAUGUUUCCAUACCCACAUUAUUACAAACCAUUAUUAGUUUAAGCCUUACCUCCUGUUUACUGUUGCACAAAGGUUGUAACAAUUACAUAUUCAGAGUAAGUAGAAAUAGAUAACCCGCUGUCUUGCACUGUUUUUCUUGAGGAUGAUUUUGUGCAUUAAUAUUGUAAAUGGGAACUUUCAUUUAAUGCUCUUCUUUGCUUUCUAUUAUUGAUUACUGUUUUCACUUCUAUGCUGUGAUGAAGGUGAUUAGAAUGGGAGGUUUUAAAUUAUUUCGGGUAUACAUUCUUUCUCAUUGUUUUUAUACUUCAUUAAUCCUUUUUUAGUAUGAAACAACCUUCAACAAUGAACUAGGUUAAGUAAUAUUACCCCCUUUGGUUAAAAUACUAUGUGGAAAUUAAUAUUAGCAUACAUUUCACCUUACAUAUGUACCACUGGUUAACAUGAAUUGAAUGUAAUGAAAACAGCCCAGUUGUAAUCUCCCUACCACCCAUUGAAUAUUACGUGUUACAUAGGAAAUACUACACAGUGUGUUGACUCACAGCUGUCCCACAUAAUUUUUCUCACAGUAAAUGGGAAAUCAGCACUGUUGAAACAGUAACAUAGUAUUUUAAUCCGUAGGUAGGAUAAGGGUAAUAUAUUAUACUUUAUCACCUCUAGAUAGAUAUUCAAGAUCUCCUGCCAAAGAGUAUGUACAACCUUUAGCUUGCAUUCAUGCAGCAAAUGUUGACUACCAAGAGCAUGUUCAUUUGAAUUUUAAUAGGUAUUAUGAGAUGAGGCUUACUUUCAUCUUUGAAAGAAAUUUUAUGUGUCAGCUGUGCAAUACAGGAAACAAAAAUAGUAACCCUUUGAGAUUCCUUUGAUGUCAAAUGAUGUCAUCCUCUCCCAAACUGCUGCGGUUCCAGUAAUGCAAAAUGACCCCAUCCAAUGAAAAUAUUUGGUAACCAUGAUAUUUUGAAGUUUUUCGUUCUAUAUUUUUGAAUUGACUUGACUAAAUUCAGAUACUCGGCUGCAAUUUGAACAUACUACAAUUCAAAUACAGUAGUACCUCGAGAUACGAAAGGCUCAACUUACGAAAAACUCGAGAUACGAAAGCCAAUACGAAAAAUUUAACGGCUCUACAUACGAAAAGUUUUAAAGAUACGAAAGGUUUCUGAAAGUCUGAGAUUCGCCCGAAUAACAAUUUUGAAAAUCGCGCCGCACGCCGCCAUUCUUAGUACUAGUAGACUCGCCACCAUCCUCCUGCUCUCCCAUUAGUUCCUGAUGCUAGUCGCGGCCAUGAAAUCCUUCUCUCCUAUUGGCCAGCGUCCCUCCAUCAUGCAUCUACUAUGUAUACGUGGUGGCGUGCUUUGGCCACUCGGCACAGCAUUGUUAUAGUACGCACACGGUAUUCGUUUUUGGGAUCGUCAAUGUGUACGUUAUUUAAAAAAAAGUGACCAAGAUCUCUCACAUGGGAUAAGUGAUCAAGGUCUCUCAUCAUGGGAUAACUGGA